GUGAAGAACGCAGCGAAAUGCGAUAAGUAAUGUGAAUUGCAGAAUUCAGUGAAUCAUCGAAUCUUUGAACGCACAUUGCGCCCGUCAGUAUUCUGGCGGGCAUGCCUGUUCGAGCGUCAUUACGCCCCUCAAGUCCCCUGUGGACUUGGUGUUGGGGAUCGGCGAGGCUGGUUUUCCAGCACAGCCGUCCCUUAAAUUAAUUGGCGGUCUCGCCGUGGCCCUCCUCUGCGCAGUAGUAAAACACUCGCAACAGGAGCCCGGCGCGGUCCACUGCCGUAAAACCCCCCAACUUUUUAUAGUUGACCUCGAAUCAGGUAGGACUACCCGCUGAACUUAAGCAUAUCAAUAAGCGAGGA
rnacentral:misc_RNA from 1 species